GAUGAACGCUGGCGGCGUGCCUAAUACAUGCAAGUCGAGCGAACAGACGAGGAGCUUGCUCCUCUGACGUUAGCGGCGGACGGGUGAGUAACACGUGGAUAACCUACCUAUAAGACUGGGAUAACUUCGGGAAACCGGAGCUAAUACCAGAUAAUAUAUUGAACCGCAUGGUUCAAUAGUGAAAGACGGUUUUGCUGUCACUUAUAGAUGGAUCCGCGCCGCAUUAGCUAGUUGGUAAGGUAACGGCUUACCAAGGCAACGAUGCGUAGCCGACCUGAGAGGGUGAUCGGCCACACUGGAACUGAGACUCGGUCCAGACUCCUACGGGAGGCAGCAGUAGGGAAUCUUCCGCAAUGGGCGAAAGCCUGACGGAGCAACGCCGCGUGAGUGAUGAAGGUCUUCGGAUCGUAAAACUCUGUUAUUAGGGAAGAACAAAUGUGUAAGUAACUAUGCACGUCUUGACGGUACCUAAUCAGAAAGCCACGGCUAACUACGUG
rnacentral:rRNA from 1 species